GACGAACGCUGGCGGCGUGCUUAACACAUGCAAGUCGAACGGAAAGGCCCUGCUUUUGUGGUGUGCUCGAGUGGCGAACGGGUGAGUAACACGUGUGUAACCUGCCCUUGACUUUGGGAUAAUUUCAGGAAACUGGGGCUAAUACCGGAUAGGAGCCCCUGCCGCAGUGUGGGGGUUGGAAAGUUUCGGCGGUUGGGGAUGGACUCGCGGCUUAUCAGCUUGUUGGUGGGGUAGUGGCUUACCAAGGGUUUGACGGGUAGCCGGCCUGAGAGGGUGACCGGCAACAUUGGGACUGAGAUACGGCCCAGACUCCUACGGGAGGCAGAAGUGGGGAGUAUUGCACAGUGGGCGGAAGCCUGAUGCAGCAACGCGGCGUGCGGGAUGACGGCCUUCGGGUUGUAAACCGCUUUCGCCUGUGACGAAGCGUGAGUGACGGUAAUGGGUAAAGAAGCACCGGCUAACUACGUG
rnacentral:rRNA from 1 species